GUGUGAACGUAGCCAAAGUGUAGAUACAUUUUGGCAGGAGGAAAGUAGUGAUGUGUUUUUUGGAAGGAAUGUGAACAGAGGAAGAAAUCGUGGUCAUUGAAAAGGAAAUUUUAAAGGAAGUUUUAGAAGAAGGUUUAGAGGAAGUAGCAAGAGAGGGUCAGAGCAAGUUGAUGAUGGAUGUUGGAUUUGUAGACAGAGAGAUCAUUGGGAGAGAGAUUGUCCUGAAAGGAAGAAAUUAGAUUGAUUAGAUGGUAAAAGAAAUGAAAAGAUAAAAGAUGAAUCAGAACUACAAAUUCAACCAAUUAGUGAUGAAUUUUUAGAUCUCACUGAAAGAGAAAUAGUUUUUGUUGAUGGGUCAGCAAAGAAAGAUGACACAGGCAGAAACAAAGUGAGUUUUGCUGUUGUAACUCAAGAUAAGGUUCUGAAGGCAGGACCCCUGUGUGGAAAUUACUCAGCACAAUCAGCAGAGUUGACAGCCUUAACUGAAGCAUGCAAACUGUUUAAAGAUAAUCCAGUUACAAUCUACACUGAUAGCCAAUAUGCGUUUGCUACAGUGCAUUUUUUUUGUCAACAGUGGAAGAACUGAGGGUUUAAAACAUCAACAGGAAAACCAGUAACGCAUGUAGACUUACUGAAAGAAUUAUUCCCUGCUGUAAUGUUACCAUCUAAAGUGGCAAUAUGUAAAUGUGAGACACACACACGAAGAACAGAUCAUAAUUCUAAAGCUAAUUCCUUUGCAGAUGCAACAGAAAAGCAAGCUGCAACAAAAGAUGUAGAAAUAUGCACAAAUGAGGAUGUGACUGCAGAUGCAACCGCUGAUGUUUUAAAAGAAAUGCAACACAGCGCACUACAACAAGAAAAAGAUUUGUGUUUCAGAAAGGGAGCAAAGUUAGAACAAGGUUUUUAUGUCAGCACAGAAGGUAAACCUAUUUUACCAAAAUCCAUGUACAAAUGGGCAGCAAUUUUGAGUCAUGGGCUUUGCCAUGAUUCAACAGGGGGGAGGAUGAAUUUAUUAGAGAAAUAUUAUACAAGUUAGGGAUUUAUUCUCUAUUCAAAAUUUUUUUGUAAACAAUGUGUUACAUGUAUGCGUCAUAAUCCCCAAGGCAAUGUUAGACCUAAGAGAGGAAAAUUUCCUGAACCAACUUUUCCUUUCCAUACAAUCCAUAUGGAUUUUAUUGAAUUGAAUAAAAGCAAAGGAUUGAAAUAUUGUUUAGUGAUUAUUGAUGCAUUUUCCAAAUGGGUUGAAAUUUUUCCAUGUGCAACACAAGAUGCUAUUACAGUAGCUAAAGCUAUUUGUAAAAGAAUAAUCCCAACUUUUGGCAUACCACAAGUGAUAAGAAGUGAUAAUGGUACACAUUUUGUAAAUCAAGUGAUAGACAAAAUGGCUCAACAUCUUUGUAUUGAUCUAAAGAGACAUUGUAGUUAUCACCCACAGAGUGCAGGAUUAGUUGAGAGAACUAAUAGCACUAUCAAAUCAAAGUUAAAGAAAUGCAUGGAAGAGACAAACAGACAGUGGCCUGACUGCAUAGACUUAGUUCAGCUAAGCAUGCGUAUCACACGCACAGCAGGUCAACUUUUAACGCCUUUUGAAAUGUUGUAUGGACGUUCUUAUAGGUUACCAGACCUUGAUCCUACACAGCAACAUUCUCCAGAUGAUGAUGCAAAUUUAGUGGAUUAUUUGAGAAAAAUGUUUACCACUAAAGAUGUGCAAAGGACAAAUCAAGUGCCAGAUUCCUUUUUAUCUCCACAGGACACCUCACCAGUGCAGGUUGGUGACUGGGUGUUUGUGAAGGCCAUAAAAAGGAAGUGUUGGUCCAGCCCACGGGGGGAAGGGCCAUUCCAAGUCCUGCUGACUACACCAACAGCUGUAAAGAUUGCUGAAAGGAUGUCUUGGAUCCACCUGUCACACUGCAAGAAAAAGCAUCUGGGUGAGGCUAAUUCCAACUGCUAGGUGGGGAAGUCUGACUACAAAGGGAGGCAGCUGUAUAGAAGCUGCUUGUCUCAACGUCAGCGAAGCCGGGAGAUCCACCUAGUCUUAGGGAAGAAAGCACACCAGAUCUCUUUUGCACUACACGGAUCCUACACUGUUAGAGGACUUAAGGAGGUGAUGUGCUAGUAACCUCUCCCUCCCGAAGAUAGGUACAUAUCCACCAUGGCGUGUCCAACUGGGCUAAGAGACAGUUUAUUUUGUUUACUGUUCCUGCUAUUCCUGACGGGAGCCACCACAAGGAUUUGGUUCUUUUGGAAUCAUUGUCCACCUGCAAGAAGAACCACCAACGAGGAAAGACUAAACAUUUCUCGACGAUGGCUGAGUAUUGAUGAACAUGAUGUUUUGAAUAGUCCAAAAAUGAACAUAACUCACCUGUAUAUGACAAAUUCUUGGUAUAGGCAAAGCAAUUGAGCCAUGAGCCUCACCUGCGUCACAGACGUAACCUUAUUGAUGUCAAGCCACAUGAUUCCAUUUGGGGAUCAGAUGUAACUGAAGACCAUAAACACUGGAAUACUUGGGAAAAGAUGAAGGUCACAGCGUCACUGAAGCAUUACAUCAACUUGAAAAGGUUCAACAGGCAUUGCAGGAUGACAGGAAACCCCAAUCUUGGGAUUUCUUCUCCUGGUUUGCUUUUGGUUCCUGGUGGCAACUUUUGUUAAAAAUAGUGUCACCUAUUCUUAUGGUACUGAUCAUAUGUUGUGUGUUUACUACGUGCAUUUUUCCUUGUAUUCAAUCUAUGAUUUCCAGAGCAGUGAAUGGUGGAGUACAAAGUGUUCUUAUGAGUCAAGAAUACAACUUGUUAUUAAAGGGAGAACAAGAUGACUGUAAUGAUUUUGAAAUUGAAAUGACUUGAAAAA